UCAUACCAACCAUGAAGAUAAAUUGCAGGU
rnacentral:piRNA from 1 species